rnacentral:rRNA from 3 species
CUUUACUGUAGCCUGGAAUUGACUUCGGGUUUAUUUUGCGCAGUAUAGGUGGGAGGCUAAGACAUUAUAUUUGCGGAUAUAAGAGAGCCAUCAGUGAGAUACCACUCUAAUUAAACUAGAAUUCUAAUCUUGAUGCCGUUAUCCGGCCAAGAAACAUUUCCAGGUGGGCAGUUUGACUGGGGCGGUCGCCUCCUAAAAAGUAACGGAGGCGUGCAAAGGUUUUCUCAGGCUGGUUGGAAAUCAGUCGUAGAGUGUAAAGGCAUAAGAAAGCUUGACUGCGAGACCUACAAGUCGAGCAGAGACGAAAGUCGGCCUUAGUGAUCCGACAGUUCUGAGUGGAAAGGCUGUCGCUCAACGGAUAAAAGUUA